rnacentral:rRNA from 1 species
UAGGGAAUCUUCGGCAAUGGGGGGAACCCUGACCGAGCAACGCCGCGUGAGUGAAGAAGGUUUUCGGAUCGUAAAGCUCUGUUGUUAAGGAAGAACGAGUGUGAGAAUGGAAAGUUCAUACUGUGACGGUACUUAACCAGAAAGGGACGGCUAACUACGUGCCAGCAGCCGCGGUAAUACGUAGGUCCCGAGCGUUGUCCGGAUUUAUUGGGCGUAAAGCGAGCGCAGGCGGUUAGAUAAGUCUGAAGUUAAAGGCAGUGGCUCAACCAUUGUAGGCUUUGGAAACUGUUUAACUUGAGUGCAGAAGGGGAGAGUGGAAUUCCAUGUGUAGCGGUGAAAUGCGUAGAUAUAUGGAGGAACACCAGUGGCGAAGGCGACUCUCUGGUCUGUAACUGACGCGGAGGCUCGAAAGCGUGGGUAGCAAACAGG